rnacentral:rRNA from 1 species
CGUACACUCCUGCGGGAGGCAGCAGUGGGGAAUAUUGGACAAUGGGCGCAAGCCUGAUCCAGCCAUGCCGCGUGAGUGAUGAAGGCCCUAGGGUUGUAAAGCUCUUUCACCGGUGAAGAUAAUGACGGUAACCGGAGAAGAAGCCCCGGCUAACUUCGUGCCAGCAGCCGCGGUAAUACGAAGGGGGCUAGCGUUGUUCGGAUUUACUGGGCGUAAAGCGCACGUAGGCGGACUAUUAAGUCAGGGGUGAAAUCCCGGGGCUCAACCCCGGAACUGCCUUUGAUACUGGUAGUCUUGAGUUCGAGAGAGGUGAGUGGAAUUCCGAGUGUAGAGGUGAAAUUCGUAGAUAUUCGGAGGAACACCAGUGGCGAAGGCGGCUCACUGGCUCGAUACUGACGCUGAGGUGCGAAAGCGUGGGGAGCAAACAGGAUUAGAUACCCGGGUAGUCCCA